GGGGAAUGUACUACUGUGUAUGUUUAUCUUAUUGAUUAUUGAAUAAAAUACUGUUUGGCCAAUGAGACAGCAAGUUAGAUGGAACUAGGAGUCAAAGAGGAUUCUGGGAAAUGUAGUAGAGAAGUGCUGAUCCAGGCAGGAAGUGACAUAGCAAGGAGACUCAUAUUUAAGCGAAAGAGAAACAGGAAGGACGCUCUCUCUUUUCCCCUCGGCUCCUGCUCCAGCGGCACGAUGUGAUUCACCAGCAAGGAGGGACACCAAUAAGGCGUCCGAUAAGAUGAGUCCCAUAAAAUAUAUAGAUACAUGUCACAGAGUGGUCCAGGAAGAAGAGUUGGUCUUUUCAACACCAGAACUAUGGCACCAAAGGUGGCAGGAUUUCUGUCUCCUGAGCUGUCCUGUGCUGGCCACCUGGAAGCUGAACAAGAACUCUCCAAAUUCUGCUGGAUGGAUCUGUGCCGUGUAGACAAUUAUCUCACCAGUGCCCAUGGACAGAGUGAACUGUAGGGACAACAUAAAAAGUUUUCAAAAAAAUAAGUUCCAUAAAUCAAAAGUCUUUCAUUAUGCUCUUUUAUAGACUGUGUGUGUGUGUGUGUGUGUGUGUGUGUGUGUGUGUGAGAGAGAGAGAGAGAGAGAGAGAGAGAGAGAGAGAGAGGUCAUUUCUUUUAAUGUAGUAAUGGUGACAAUAGCUGGUAGGGCUUUUUAAAAAUACUUAUUUGCCAGAACUGGAAGUUUGAAGUCUUGCAUUGAUCUACACAAACUUUAUGGAAGUAUUAAUAAGUCAAAUCCACAAUCUAGAACCCUUGCACUAGAUUUCUAAUGAUGUGAGGGGACACUGUAGGUCUUUGGAUUUGCAGUGCUAACUCGUCCUGAACCCAUCUGUCAGCUCUACUGUGAUGUCCAGACUUUUCAAAUCACUGUCAUACCCCCUGAUAUCUUUUCAUUAACAAAAGGCAUUAACAUGUGCUUUCCACCUCCUUUUGGUUUG
rnacentral:lncRNA from 1 species